rnacentral:rRNA from 1 species
UACCUGCGGAGGGAUCAUUACUGAGUUUACGCUCUACAACCCUUUGUGAACAUACCUAUAACUGUUGCUUCGGCGGGUAGGGUCUCCGCGACCCUCCCGGCCUCCCGCCUCCGGGCGGGUCGGCGCCCGCCGGAGGAUAACCAAACUCUGAUUUAACGACGUUUCUUCUGAGUGGUACAAGCAAAUAAUCAAAACUUUUAACAACGGAUCUCUUGGUUCUGGCAUCGAUGAAGAACGCAGCGAAAUGCGAUAAGUAAUGUGAAUUGCAGAAUUCAGUGAAUCAUCGAAUCUUUGAACGCACAUUGCGCCCGCCAGCAUUCUGGCGGGCAUGCCUGUUCGAGCGUCAUUUCAACCCUCAAGCUCUGCUUGGUGUUGGGGCCCUACAGCUGAUGUAGGCCCUCAAAGGUAGUGGCGGACCCUCUCGGAGCCUCCUUUGCGUAGUAACUUUACGUCUCGCACUGGGAUCCGGAGGGACUCUUGCCGUAAAACCCCCAAUUUUCCAAAGGUUGACCUCGGAUCAGGUAGGAAUACCCGCUGAACUUAAGCAUAUCAAUAGGCCGGAGGAA